CAGAGGUUUACAAAUCUGCACGCACACCAGCAUGCAAAACACAAGAAAUCUGCCGAUGCCGGGAAUCUUGAGGAACACACAUAAGUUGUUGGAGGAACUCAGCAGGUCAGGCAGCAUCUAUGGAGAGGAACAAACAGCAAUCCCAACACAGAGACCUGUGAGCUGAAUAUUAAAUCUCUGCUGAGGAAAAUUUACAGCUUUCAGUGAAGGAAGACGGGGCAUCACUGGGAACGCCUAUGAAUUAAGAACAACUACAUGUGAGCCCUCAAUAACUCUUCACCAUCAUGACCUUCCAAAAUGGGCAAGCACCACUAUAAUUAACAAUUCGAUCGCUGUUGUUGACCGUCGAAGGAUGAGUCUUCAAAUUUCUGCACAUCCUUCCUACGUUGGACAACAGACUCAUAAAGAAAACACGAUUUUCCAAGCUCUUUUACAGGAAGAGCUUACCAGGCGGGCAGGGGGCAAGGCUGAAGGAUGUGCUCAAAGCCUUCUUGAAAGUCUCCAGCAUUCCCAUCAAUGUCCUGAAAUCAGUAGCCCACCUCUGCUGCUGGGGAAGGUGAAUUCAGAUUUUCAUCGAGAAGACCAAUCCCAGGCAUUGGGAGAUCAGCAAAGUCCAACAUAGAUGGUGAAAGCAGCACAUCACUGCGCUCCUUCUCCCACUUACACUGUGAUUCCGCGUUCUCGUACAAUUCGAGGCCCUGCCCAGAACCCCCAGCUCCACCUAUAUUUGCAAUCCCGCGUUAGUCUCAUGGCUUUAUCAAAACCCACAGAACCGAAGUGGACCCUCAAUCUUCAGGGUCAUCUCCGAUGAAGCAGCUGACCAUUACAUUGGGCCGAUGAUGAAACUGCUUCAGAACACAUGCACCAGGUUUAUGGACAACCUCUGAACAGCUGUUAUGAGACUUUUAA